rnacentral:misc_RNA from 1 species
UGAAGGCAGAAAGCAAGCUGGG